rnacentral:rRNA from 1 species
AUUGAACGCUGGCGGCAGGCCUAACACAUGCAAGUCGAGCGGAUGAGGAGAGCUUGCUCUCUGAUUUAGCGGCGGACGGGUGAGUAAUGCCUAGGAAUCUGCCUGGUAGUGGGGGAUAACGUUCCGAAAGGAACGCUAAUACCGCAUACGUCCUACGGGAGAAAGCAGGGGACCUUCGGGCCUUGCGCUAUCAGAUGAGCCUAGGUCGGAUUAGCUAGUUGGUGAGGUAAUGGCUCACCAAGGCGACGAUCCGUAACUGGUCUGAGAGGAUGAUCAGUAGAACUGGAGAUGAGACACGGUCCAGACUCCUACGGGAGGCAGCAGUGGUGAAUAUUGGACAAUGGGCGGAAGCCUGAUCCAGCCAUGCCGCGUGUGUGAAGAAGGUCUUCGGAUUGUAAAGCACUUUAAGUUGGGAGGAAGGGUUGUAGAUUAAUACUCUGCAAUUUUGACGUUACCAACAGAAUAAGCACCGGCUAACUUCGUGCCAGCCGCCGCCGUAAUAC